rnacentral:rRNA from 1 species
CGUAGGGGGCAAGCGUUGUCCGGAUUUAUUGGGCGUAAAGAGCGUGUAGGCGGCUAGGUAGGUCUGCUGUGAAAACUCGAGGCUCAACCUCGAGACGCCGGCGGAAACCACCUGGCUAGAGUCCGGAAGAGGAGAGUGGAAUUCCUGGUGUAGCGGUGAAAUGCGCAGAUAUCAGGAAGAACACCCGUGGCGAAGGCGGCUCUCUGGGACGGUACUGACGCUGAGACGCGAAAGCGUGGGGAGCGAACAGGAUUAGAUACCCUGGUAGUCCACGCCGUAAACGAUGAGUGCUAGGUGUGGGGGGUGUCGACUCCCCCCGUGCCGAAGCUAACGCAUUAAGCACUCCGCCUGGGGAGUACGGCCGCAAGGCUA